rnacentral:rRNA from 1 species
GAACUGAAGAGUUUGAUCCUGGCUCAGAUUGAACGCUGGCGGCAUGCCUUACACAUGCAAGUCGAACGGCAGCACGGGUGCUUGCACCUGGUGGCGAGUGGCGAACGGGUGAGUAAUACAUCGGAACAUGUCCUGUAGUGGGGGAUAGCCCGGCGAAAGCCGGAUUAAUACCGCAUACGAUCCACGGAUGAAAGCGGGGGACCUUCGGGCCUCGCGCUAUAGGGUUGGCCGAUGGCUGAUUAGCUAGUUGGUGGGGUAAAGGCCUACCAAGGCGACGAUCAGUAGCUGGUCUGAGAGGACGACCAGCCACACUGGGACUGAGACACGGCCCAGACUCCUACGGGAGGCAGCAGUGGGGAAUUUUGGACAAUGGGCGAAAGCCUGAUCCAGCAAUGCCGCGUGUGUGAAGAAGGCCUUCGGGUUGUAAAGCACUUUUGUCCGGAAAGAAAUC